UACGUAGGGUGCGAGCGUUAAUCGGAAUUACUGGGCGUAAAGCGUGCGCAGGCGGCUUUGCAAGACAGAUGUGAAAUCCCCGGGCUCAACCUGGGAACUGCAUUUGUGACUGCAAGGCUAGAGUACGGCAGAGGGGGGUAGAAUUCCACGUGUAGCAGUGAAAUGCGUAGAUAUGCGGAGGAACACCGAUGGCGAAGGCAAUCCCCUGGGCCUGCACUGACGCUCAUGCACGAAAGCGUGGGGAGCAAACAGG
rnacentral:rRNA from 1 species